CUUUGUGUCUCAAUAUCGCUCUCUCUCUCUCGGCCUCUGGAUUGAGCGCUUUUGUUUUAGCACCUCCAUAUCACUUUGUCCCCACCUCCUCCACCUCCUGCAGAGAUAGAUAGACACUAUGCUUUCCCCUACUGUACCUGCCUGCCUUCACCGCCUGUCCCCUGACGCGCCUCGCACACAUCCUGAGCAAUCUGCGCCCACUGACCUGGCUGACUGUCAGCCCUGAGGAGAUGGAGUGCCCGGCUUCAUGUGGCGGGAUGAGGGAUGCACGGCCAUCCUAACAUCUGUGUGCCCUGUGGGAACUACGAGGCAGCACUUUGCAGGAAAGUCAGACUAGUGGUGUGAUACCCUGAGCCCCAGUAAGGAUACACUGACAGAAAGGGUAGAAUAGCACUUAGCACAACAAAUUGUUCAGGGUGCUGCUCUCUGCUCUGGAGACCUAUUGUUGGAUAAAAUCAUAUUUGUUUUCUUUCAAAUGUUUAGCUGUGCUUGAUUGGGUUUGUUUGGCACUGUCACACCCUGAUCUGUUUCACCUGUCCUUGUGAUUGUCUCCACCCCCUCCAGGUGUCGCUGAUUUUCCCCAGUGUAUUUAUUCCUCUGUUUCCUGUCUCUCUGUGCCAG